AACUUUCAACAACGGAUCUCUUGGCUCUCGCAUCGAUGAAGAACGCAGCGAAAUGCGAUAAGUAAUGUGAAUUGCAGAAUUCAGUGAAUCAUCGAAUCUUUGAACGCACCUUGCGCCCCUUGGUAUUCCGAGGGGCAUGCCUG
rnacentral:rRNA from 2 species